rnacentral:rRNA from 1 species
UACGUAGGGUGCAAGCGUUGUCCGGAAUUAUUGGGCGUAAAGAGCUCGUAGGCGGUUUGUCGCGUCUGCUGUGAAAAACCCGAGGCUCAACCCUCGGGCCUGCAGUGGGUACGGGGCAGACUAGAGUGCGGUAGGGGAGAUUGGAAUUCCUGGUGUAGCGGUGGAAUGCGCAGAUAUCAGGAGGGAACACCAAUGGCGAAGGCAGAUCUCUGGGCCGUAACUGACGCUGGAGGAGCGAAAGCAUGGGGAGCGAACAGG